GUAGGGGGCAAGCGUUAUCCGGAUUUACUGGGUGUAAAGGGAGCGUAGACGGCGCGGCAAGUCUGAAGUGAAAGGCAGGGGCUUAACCCUGGAACUGCUUUGGAAACUGUGCAGCUAGAGUGCAGGAGAGGUAAGUGGAAUUUCUAGUGUAGCGGUGAAAUGCGUAGAUAUUAGGAGGAACACCAGUGGCGAAGGCGGCUUACUGGACUGUAACUGACGUUGAGGCUCGAAAGCGUGGGGAGCAA
rnacentral:rRNA from 1 species